rnacentral:rRNA from 1 species
UACGUAGGGGGCAAGCGUUGUCCGGAAUCAUUGGGCGUAAAGAGCGUGUAGGCGGCCAGAUAAGUCCGCUGUGAAAUCUCGAGGCUCAACUUCGAGCUGUCGGUGGAAACUGUCUGGCUAGAGUCCGGAAGAGGAGAAUGGAAUUCCUGGUGUAGCGGUGAAAUGCGCAGAUAUCAGGAAGAACACCCGUGGCGAAGGCGGUCUCUGGGACGGUACUGACGCUGAGACGCGAAAGCGUGGGGAGCGAACAGG